GCAAAACUUUGUGGAGUGAAUGUAGAAGUCACUGUAUGCUUUUAAUUAAAGGAACACAAUAAAUCUUGUAUUGGAAGCGUUCUCCAUGGAAACAUUGCUGAAGCUUCUGGACUCAAUUUCCUUUCCCAUGUGUGAAUGUCACUGAAAAUAUCCAACUCCAUUCUAUCCCCAUAUAACUUAAGAAACUAAGCAAAAUGAAGACUCAAAAUGCAUUUCAAAUAAUGAAGUUACAAUGUAGAAUGGAACUGGGAAAAUGUCUGGUUUAAAUUCUGGAAAGUACCAACUAUACUAUUCUGGAUAAGUUGCUUAAUCUUGCUUAGUCUAAUUUGAUGCCCAUCUCACAGGAUGUUAUGAUGAUUUAUUUAAUAUCUUUGUAUAACGUACAGUGUUAUGUAAUUUCUUCUAGUUUUUCUUGAGUAAAUUCAUAUCCUUAAGCAACUCACUGUAAACAGUAGUUACUUACUUACUUAAAUUACUCUUAUCUUCUAUUAUCAGCUGAAUUGUGUCCUGCUCAAGUUAAUAUGUGGAAGUCUUAACCCCCAAUAUCUCGUAAUAUGACUGUAUUUGGAGAUAAGGCCCUUAAAUAGAUAAUUGAGGUCAAAUGAGGUCAAAUGAGUGGACUCUAAUCCAAUAUGACUGGCGUCCUUAUAAAAAGAAAAUAUUAGGACACAGACAUGCACAGAGAGAAGAUCAUGUGAAGACAAAAGGAAAACAUGGCUUCUACAAACCAAGAAGAGAUACCUCGGAAGAAAUCAAUCCUGUUGACACCUUAUCUCAGAUUUCUAGCCUCUAGACCUGUGAGUGAGUAAAUUUCUGUUGUUCAACCUCUUCAGUAUCUGGUACUUUGUCAUGGCAGCUCUAGGAAACUAAUACAACUUUUUAUGACCUCCUUGUCUCAA